rnacentral:rRNA from 1 species
AUUGAACGCUAGCGGGAUGCUUUACACAUGCAAGUCGAACGAGUGGCGGACGGGAGAAUAAUAUAUCGGAACGUGCCCAGUAGCGGGGGAUAACUACUCGAACGAGUGGCUAAUACCGACUCCUAUGUGAGCGGCCGAUAUCGGAUUAGCUAGUUGUUGGGGUAAAGGCGUACCAAGGCAACGAUCCUGUGCUGGUUUGAGCGGAGGACCAGCCACACUUGGACUGAGACACGGCCCAGACGCCUACGCGAUGCAGCAGUGGGGAAUUUUGGACAAGUGGGGAAACCCUGAUCCAGCCAUCCCGCGUGUAUGAGAAGGCCUUCGGGUUGUAAAGUACUUUUGGCAGAGAAGCGGUAUCUGCAGAAUAAGCACCGGCUAACUACGUGCCAGCAGCCGCGGUAAUUC